UACAGAGGGUGCGAGCGUUAAUCGGAAUAACUGGGCGUAAAGCGCGCGUAGGCGGUUAUACAAGUUGGGUGUGAAAUCCCUGGGCUUAACCUAGGAAUUGCAUUCAAAACUAUAUGACUUGAGUGAGGUAGAGGUAAGUGGAAUUUCCGGAGUAGCGGUGAAAUGCGUAGAUACCGGAAGGAACACCAGUGGCGAAGGCGACUUACUGGGCCUUAACUGACGCUGAGGUGCGAAAGCGUGGGGAGCAAAC
rnacentral:rRNA from 1 species